UGCGUAAAUGCUAACACGUCUGUUAGCGCGCACUGAAUGAAAAAAAAGAAAGAAAAAGCUUUUGUUUGUUUACAAGAAAACAGUUUUUCCCGCAAUUUUUUCUUUGCCAGCUGUGUCUCAUUAGUUAAAUAGUGUCCAGUGUAAUUGUAGCCUUGUGUUUCCCCGCUUUCAGCUAGCAGAGGUCUGUGUUUAGCCGCCUACACCUUGCUUCAUGAUCUGGUUCCUCGUGUUCACCCUGUCAUACCUGUGUGUUGACUCUUUUUGCCUGUUUUCUCAAUUUCUGUUUUUUUUGGCCACUACUUACUGGACUUGUUCGUCUGGUUGGACUAACCCCCCCUGGUUUUUGGACUCUUGCUUGCCUCACCACAUUCUGAUGAUGUCAUCCAUGUGAGAGGGCACUCCUACCCAGAGGCGGUUGUCCCGUGGAUAGCCUAACUCUGGCUCCCUGAUCACCUGUUCACCUUUACGGCUCUCGUCAAACCUCCAGAACUUCCCUCCGCUGAACAGCGUCGAUCUUGUUCGUUCCUGGCGGGAGCCCAAUCCAGAAGUUUUUGAUCUGAGCCGGAUGGAGGGACACUAAAGACCCGUCUCGCUUAGUUCUCCAGAAUUGUGCACCUUU